rnacentral:rRNA from 1 species
UACGAAGGGGGUGAGAGUUGCUCGGAAUCACUGGGCGUAAAGCGCACGUAGGCGGAUUGCUAAGUCAGGGGUGAAAUCCUGGAGCUCAACUCCAGAACUGCCCUUGAUACUGGCGACCUUGAGUCCGGGAGAGGUGAGUGGAACUGCGAGUGUAGAGGUGAAAUUCGUAGAUAUUCGCAAGAACACCAGUGGCGAAGGCGGCUCACGGGCCCGGUAUUGACGAUGAGGUGCGAAAGCGUGGGGAGCAAACAGG